CGCAAGGCCCAGUGGACCGCCCCAGGGCGGCGAGGCAGCAGCCAU
rnacentral:SRP_RNA from 13 species